GAUGAAGAACGUAGCGAAAUGCGAUAAGUAAUGCGAAUUGCAGAAUUCCAGUGAAUCAUCGAAUCUUUGAACGCACAUUGCGCCCUCUGGUAUUCCGGGGGGCAUGCCUGUUCGAGCGUCAUUACAACCCUCAAGCUUUGCUUGGUAUUGGACAUUGCCAGUUUCUGGCAGGUCUUAAAAUCAGUGGCGGUGCCAUUUGGCUUCAAGCGUAGUAAUUCUUCUCGCUUUGGAGAUCCAGGUGGUUACUUGCCAAUAACCCCCAAUUUUUUCAGGUUGACCUCGGAUCAGGUAGGGAUACCCGCUGAACUUAAGCAUAUCAAUAAGCGGAGGA
rnacentral:misc_RNA from 1 species